AUUCCGUGAUGAGGGCACUUCCGUAAUAAUUUUUUAUACCUUUCCCAUGCCUUAUACAAUGACUCAUCAUCCAUUUGCUGGAAAAUAGAGAUCUCGUUCCUCAACCU
rfam:Gossypium hirsutum cultivar TM-1 chromosome 17, whole genome shotgun sequence